rnacentral:rRNA from 1 species
AAACCGAAUCGUAGUCCGGAUUGCAGUCUGCAACUCGACUGCAUGAAGUCGGAAUCGCUAGUAAUCGCGGAUCAGCAUGCCGCGGUGAAUACGUUCCCGGGUCUUGUACACACCGCCCGUCAAACAAUGGGAGUGGUGUUUACCAGAAGUCGUUAGCCUAACCGCAAGGAGGGCGGCGACCACGGUGAGCACCGUGACUAAUGUUAAGUCGUAACAAGGUAGC